CUACGGGGUGCUCCAGUGAGGAAUUUUGCGCAAUGGGGGAAACCCUGACGCAGCAACGCCGCGUGAGUGAAGAAGGCCUUUGGGUCGUAAAGCUCUGUCAACUGGGAAGAAGUUAGAGGUAUUAAAUAGGUAUCUCUAUUGACGGUACCAGUGGAGGAAGCGCCGGCUAACUCCGUGCCAGCAGCCGCGGUAACACGGGGGGCGCAAGCGUGAUUCGGAAUUAUUGGGCGUAAAGGGCGCGCAGGCGGUCUUGUCAGUCAGGUGUGAAAGCCCGGGGCUCAACCCUGGAAGUGCACUUGAAACAGCAAGACUUGAAUACGGGAGAGGAAAGCGGAAUUCCUGGUGUAGAGGUGAAAUCCGUAGAUAUCAGGAGGUACACCGAUGGCGAAGGCAGCUUUCUGGACCGAUAUUGACGCUGAGGCGCGAAGGCGUGGGUAGCGAACGGGAUUAGAUACCCCCGUAGUC
rnacentral:rRNA from 1 species